rnacentral:rRNA from 1 species
CCUACGGGCGGCUGCAGUGAGGUAUAUUGGUCAUUGGGCGCGAGCCUGAACCAGCCAAGUCGCGUGAGGGAAGACGGUCCUAUGGAUUGUAAACCUCUUUUGUCGGGGAGCAAAAGACGCCACGCGUGGCGUUCCGAGAGUACCCGAAGAAAAAGCAUCGGCUAACUCCGUGCCAGCAGCCGCGGUAAUACGGAGGAUGCGAGCGUUAUUCGGAUUUAUUGGGUUAAACGGGUGCGCAGGCGGAAGAGCAAGUCAGCGGUAAAAGUGAGAGGCGCAACCUCUGCGAGCCGUUGAAACUGGUUGUCUUGAGUGAGUGAGAAGUAUGCGGAAGGCGUGGUGUAGCGGUGAAAUGCAUAGAUAUCACGCAGAACUCCGAUUGCGAAGGCAGCAUACCGGCGCUCAACUGACGCUCAUGCACGAAAGUGUGGGUAUCGAACAGGAUUAGAUACCCCGGUAGUC